AGGACUGGGGAGCUCUAACAAAUCUGGGGACAACCAGGGUGGGUCUAACUUUGGAUAUAUCGGUAAUGUUUCCUAAUUGCUGGCACUAUAAUGAUUCUUUGCUAUGGAAGAUGCCAAAUGGGCAUGAACCACCAGCCUUGGACAGUACAGUACAACGGGAGAACGCUCCAGCCUUGAGUGUCCGGAACCAGAUUCGUCUCCCACCCUAAGGUGGCGGAAGGAAGAGCAAAUGACUCAGCAUUUCUGCUUAUGGGCUUAGUGCUACCUGACCAGCCUGGCCCCAAACUCUAUCAGCGUCCUGCACAAACUGUAGGACAUUGAUCCCUGCAGUUAGGGCUGAAAGGCCAUUCCUCCAAAAGGAAAGGGGAAUUUCCAUGAACCUCAAUGUCAUUGCCCAGCUGGGUUAACAAACCAUCUUAUCUUGCUCCAUUCAGCCCCAUUCCCAGCAGGAUGCCCUGCCUGUCCAAUUUCUCAUGUUUUGUUCCAUGGAGCUACAGUUCCUAAUCCUUCUUUCUGAUUCACAUCCCCCCUUGUCUUGAGUUUUCCUAGUCCAGUAUUGUUAGAGCUCCCCUGUGGUAUGAUUUCAAUCAGUUACCGAGGUCAAGGGAAUUUUUAAGUUGUGACAGUAAGGGAUUUCUAAUUCAGUGGGAAGGUGGUUCUUCCCAGUAGUUGGAGAAAGAUUGAAAGUAUGCCAACAUGAGACACAUCUCAGAUGGUAUUGUGACAGGGACAAUAGUACCUCUUCAUUGAUGACGUUGCUGGUUUUCUGAGGUGCCUUGACUUUCUUUAGUCUGUAUGCUGGCAUCUGAAAUUUCAUUAAGGAAUCAUACCAUCCAGCAAUAAAGUAAGGAAAUAAAUAUUUAUUAAAGGUCUG
rnacentral:lncRNA from 1 species